CGGGGCUUACAAUAUGAGGCGGGCUGGACCUCUCGGGGUUACAGCCUUGCUGAAUUAUUCACCCUUGUCUUUUGCGUACUUCUUGUUUCCUUGGUGGGUUCGCCCACCACUAGGACAAACAUAAACCUUUUGUAAUUGCAAUCAGCGUCAGUAACAAAUUAAUAAUUACAACUUUCAACAACGGAUCUCUUGGUUCUGGCAUCGAUGAAGAACGCAGCGAAAUGCGAUAAGUAGUGUGAAUUGCAGAAUUCAGUGAAUCAUCGAAUCUUUGAACGCACAUUGCGCCCUUUGGUAUUCCAAAGGGCAUGCCUGUUCGAGCGUCAUUUGUACCCUCAAGCUUUGCUUGGUGUUGGGCGUCUUGUCUCUAGCUUUGCUGGAGACUCGCCUUAAAGUAAUUGGCAGCCGGCCUACUGGUUUCGGAGCGCAGCACAAGUCGCACUCUCUAUCAGCAAAGGUCUAGCAUCCAUUAAGCCUUUUUUUCAACUUUUGACCUCGGAUCAGGUAGGGAUACCCGCUGAACUUAAGCAUAUCAAUAAGCGGAGGAA
rnacentral:rRNA from 2 species